AUAAACGGCUGGGGGCGCACUUUACGUGCUGAGAGAUAAAAUUAUCGACCCUUCGAACCUGUAGGUUAGUACCUGCGCAGGGAAGUCUGAGCUGAUAUAU
rnacentral:ncRNA from 2 species